AGAGUUUGAUCAUGGCUCAGAAUCAACGCUGGCGGCGUGCCUAACACAUGCAAGUCGCACGAGAAAAGUGGAGCAAUCCAUGAGUAAAGUGGCGCACGGGUGAGUAACACGUGAAUCAUCUACCUCCGAGUGGGGAAUAACCUAGAGAAAUCUGGGCUAAUACCGCAUAACACUUACGAGUCAAAGCAGCAAUGCACUUGGAGAGGAGUUCGCGGCCGAUUAGCUAGUUGGCGGGGUAAUGGCCCACCAAGGCGAUGAUCGGUAUCCGGCCUGAGAGGGCGCACGGACACACUGGAACUGAAACACGGUCCAGACUCCUACGGGAGGCAGCAGUGGGGAAUUUUGCGCAAUGGGGGAAACCCUGACGCAGCAACGCCGCGUGGAGGAUGAAAUCCCUUGGGAUGUAAACUCCUUUCGAUAGGGAAGAUAAUGACGGUACCUAUAGAAGAAGCCCCGGCUAACUUCGUGCCAGCAGCCGCGGUAAUACGAGGGGGGCAAGCGUUGUUCGGAAUUAUUGGGCGUAAAGGGUGCGUAGGCGGUUUGACAAGUCUGAUGUGAAAUCUAUGGGCUCAACCCAUAGUCUGCAUCGGAAACUGUCGGGCUUGAGUAUGGGAGAGGUGGGUGGAAUUUCCGGUGUAGCGGUGAAAUGCGUAGAUAUCGGAAGGAACACCUGUGGCGAAAGCGGCUCACUGGACCAUUACUGACGCUGAGGCACGAAAGCUAGGGGAGCAAACAGGAUUAGAUACCCUAGUAGUCC
rnacentral:rRNA from 1 species